AACGAACGCUGGCGGCGUGCCUAACACAUGCAAGUCGAACGAGGUAGCAAUACCUAGUGGCGGACGGGUGAAUAAGACAUAGGUGAUCUGCCCUUUUGUGGGGGAUACCCAGCCGAAAGGUUGGCUAAUACCGCAUAAGCUCUCAGGUUUAGAGGCCUGAGAGGAAAGAUUUAUCGCAGAAGGAUGAGCCUGUGGCCGAUUAGCUAGUUGGUGGGGUAAAGGCCUACCAAGGCGACGAUCGGUAGCUGGUCUGAGAGGAUGAUCAGCCACACUGGGGCUGAGACACGGCCCAGACUCCUACGGGAGGCAGCAGUGGGGAAUUUUCCGCAAUGGGCGAAAGCCUGACGGAGCGACGCCGCGUGGAGGAUGAAGGUCUUCGGAUUGUAAACUCCUGUCAGUGGGGACGAAUCAACUGACGGUACCCACAAAGGAAGCAUCGGCUAACUACGUGCCAGCCGCCGCCGUAAGAC
rnacentral:rRNA from 1 species